UUUUUUUUUUUUUUUUUUUUUUUUUUUAGCAUCAGUGGAACGUUGGAGCAUGGGGUGAAGAACCAACCUCAGCCUUCCACCCAGCACUGGAGAUCUCCUCAUGGCUUCCUUUCUCCCACCUCUGACCACUCGCUUCCAGAGAGAAGUCUCCCAGGAAGCCAGACCCAACGCCCAGCAGUACCCAGCACCAGAAUACACUUCCUACAUGAUACCCAAAUUCACUUCCCUGUCACUUUCACCCCAAAGUCUCAGUUCUGCCUGGGGGGGAUGCAAGGAAAAGGCCAAGUUCCUCUUUCCCAUGAUUUACAGCGCGUGUCUCCCCUGGAGUCUCUCAUCCAGAUGAAACAGGCACUUAAAUCUACGACAAGUGGGUGAACGCAGGAAAAAAUGCAGCAACAAUCAAACGAGGGGGUGGGAGAGAGGUGGAAAUGGGAGGAAGAGCCUCCCCAGUCCCUGGGGGACCUCCUCUAGCUUGAAAACAGUUCCUCUUAAAAAGUAAGCUUGGGGAGCUGAACAAAAUAUUCCAGAAAGACCUUAAGCCAGUGUUUUUCAGACUAUAGGUGGUGACCCCUGUCAGUGGUAAACAGCCUCUCAGUGGUUCUAAACCAUCGUUUCGCUUAAUGAAAGAACAGAAUAGAGCAGAGAAUGUCGUUGUUCAUCAACCAGCCUCGGGGUCAGGGGUGGUUUGGAAACAUCUUUUCCGGGUAUGUAUAUACGUGCGUGUGUGUCUGUGUGUCUGUGUGUGUGUGUGGUGUGCCGGAAUGUGGUACCGGGUCUUGAUGUAGAAUGUUUCUUACUGGGGGUCACAAGUCAGAGGGAAAAAAGCCAGUGUUCCAACACUAUGAAAGAGGCACCACAAUCAUCCCCAUUCUCAGAUGAAAAUAAUGAGACAGAUCAAUUAUUAACUUGCCUAAGGUCACCCAACUAGUAAACGCCAGGGCUGAGACUGGAACGGGAUGGGAGAGGCGGGUGGGAGGCAGUCUGACUCCACAGCAUGAACUUGAACCCCUCCCCUCAGGGCCUCCAGAAUACAAAACAGCCACUCCGUGCAGGCAGGGGGAGGGUGCUGCGGGACCAAUCUUGGGACCAGGAGGCACCUUGCAGGCUCUCCUCUCACCCAUUAGACUCACAUUCCCUUCCUUCACUCAGGGCACACCCACACCGACCCCAGUGAGCUUUUGUGGAAGGACCAUACUGCCAACGCUCUGGGUCAUCAAAGAGGCAGAGUCCCAUCUACCAGAAUUAACGUAUUCCUUUCACCCUCGGCAGAGGGCUUCAACCAGCCGCGUGAAGGCUGAGCGAAGAUUCAGUCUGUAUUUUUCCACUAACCCACAAAGAUAUGUGUGAAAGAUGUUUCAAAACCUCAUCGACAGCAAAAUCCACCUCAGUGCGGUGGUACCAGACGUGGCCAUCAGCCCCUCCUUAAUCCAUGUCACAUGUUUAAUAGAUUCUUGAUGCUUUAGUCCCACAGACAAACUCUAAAAACUUUCUAGAUCCCGAGAGCUUUAUUGGACAAAUAUUAUCACUGUCUCGCAAAGGUCUGUUACAAGCAUUCAUCACCUCCACAUACUUCAUCCUUCUCACUUGUGUGCCCCAAGGCUCUUCCGCCAUUACCGACCACAAGACAAAUUUUGGUAGCACUUGAGUCUACUCUGCUAUAAAAGGAAGCCUGUAAUUUUGAUAUGUAAGGCCCUGGGGUGUGGGAGAUCCCAGACCCUGGCCAGUGAGCUCUGUCCUUUCUUCCGCAGUGUGGUUCUCAGAGCACCAAAGUCUUAUUUUUAAAUUCUGAUUCUGGGAGUUCCUGUUGUGGCUCAGUGUGUUAAGAGCCCGACUCGUAUCCAUAAGCAUGUAGGCUCGAUCCCCGGCCUUGCUCAUUGGGUUAAGGAGCUGGCGUUGCUGUGAGCUGUGGGUAGGUCGCAGACAUAGCUCGGAUCCCAUGGUACUGUGGCUGUGGUGUAGACCGGCAGCUGUAGCUCCGAUUCGACCCCUAGCCUGGGAACUUCCCUAUGCCACAGGUGCAGCCCUAAAAAUUUCUGAUUCUGUGGUACUUUUCCCACAACAUGCUCUGAUCACCCUUCCUACAGGGGAAAUGUGGAGAGUUAGGCAUGCCUUGACCUAUGUGAACCCGUCUUGGCUCUCUAUAAUCCCUGCUUAGAAAAGGAACUUCUGGAAUUUUGCCUAGGAUUAUCAUAAGCUCAAUGUACCAUAUUUUUCCCAUGCUCAAAUUGAGGCAGUGUUUUUUUUUUAUUAUUCCUUCCUGGAAACUCACCUCCCCAGAAGGGCCCCUGGAAUGACCCAUCUCUGCCUGGAGGGGCCUCAAACAAAGCAAAGGAAGUUGAGGGUAGUUAGGUCUUUAACUUAGUAUUAGCCAGGAUUGUUCUGCUUCUCUGGUUUGAAGAGCUUCCUCCUUGAUAAAGAAGGCAGUGUCCUUUGGGUUACAGUCUGUUCUAUAAAAUUCUGUUCUGUUCUAUAAACAUAAACCGUGUACCGUAUUUUUCCUCUCUUGCUCUGCACAGGGUUCAGAAAGUCUCUUCCAUCUUCUUUAGGUCUCAGUGGUUCAGGGAGAUGGGACACGGCUACACCUAGGAAGGGUUCAUCCUUUCCGGGAUCCAACCCAAACCCUGGGGCGAGCUUGAGGAACCAGCGCAAGGGAGGAGUCACGGGCAAGGCGGGGGUGCUGGACGAGCAUGGUCUCUUGGGGUGAAGGGCCGUCCCUCAUUAUCAAGGGAGUCACACAUCUGCAUCAAGGAAAGCUCAACGCUCAGGAUGCCUGGGAGGAUUGAACGAGAUCAUGUUUGUAAACCCUUGGUGUCAGGCACGUAGUCAGGAUUUAACAAGCCGCCAUUAGCCCUGUCAUCAUUACUUUUGCUGUCAUCCAAAAGAGCUCUGGUAGUCCUCGGCUCUCCAACAAGCCUUCAGGGCCUACCAUGACUCUGCUGACCCCAGAAGCUCCUUCAGCAGCUGCCUCUUCCAGCACAUAAACACCCCAAGCCAGAGCAGGCUGAAUUCACUGAGGCUCCGGCUCUGCAGUUACCUAAUGAGUCAGGCUUCUCAGAAUCUCCAUCUCUAAAGACUGGGGCAGUGAUCCCGCCCAGUCACACUUGCACUGGAGGGAGAGGACCAGGUUAGGAGGACAAUGGGCUGGGGUCCAUCCCAACCUCACCUCCUCUAUGUACUGAGCCUCUGUUGGCUCCUGCCUCACUGGGUUGUUGUGAAUGUAAUUAUGGGAAGGUGCCUAGCGCAGAACCUGAUACCAUGUAGAGACAGAAGAAAGUUCACCAAAUUUCAGCCCAGACGUCUGAGUGCCUGGCAUCUUUCUGGGAAUUAUAGGAGGCAGGUAUUGUGGGGAAAUGAGGAGCCAGGGAGAGAAAGAGUGGUCUUGGAAAUAGACACGUCUCCUCAAUUGCUCAUUGGCAGGUCCUGGCAGAGAAUCUGCCCCUGAGGGAUUUUGGCUGGGUCUGUGGUGUGGAAGAGAAAGAAAGGAAUCAGAUGAUAAAGAUGAGGCCUCUUCAUGAAGCACAGAACCCAAAGCUCCACGACUCAUCAAUGAAGAAGCUGGGGUUGGAACCCAAGUAUGUCUGACCCCAUAGCCUACACUGUUUCAACUUCCAGAAGCUGCAGAGGAAAGGCAUGGCCUCCCAAUAGGGCCUGAGAACAAGUCUCUCACUCUCCAGAUCCACCAAAUGGACGCCAAAAGCCCAGGUUACCUGGUGUGAUCCCAGACCCCGAAAGUUUGCUCAGACUGCUGUCAGGCCAUGAUGCAAAACAAAGUCCAGCCAACACGCUGGGAAGUUCCCAAGUAAGGACUGCCCAUUAGGAGAGUCUCACAUUGGCCAGAAAUGGCCAGUUCCUAGCACCCAUGUGCUUCUCAUCAGCUGGGAGCUGCCCGGAGAGCAUGACCUCGGCCUGAAGGUUCUGCAGCCAGAAGCUGUCACCUACGGCUCCCCUCACAGUUGAGUAGUAAGUUCUUCACUGAAGAGAGGUCCAAGCAGUGCGACCACUCCAUGGCUCCCACAGUCCACCUAUUCCCUGUACGGAUACACAUCUCCAAGCUCCUGGCCGACAUCUCUCCCGUCUUGGAAGAGGGAGGAUGAUGGGACAAACUCCAGCUCCCAUCACUGCAGCCACUCUUAGAACUUCAACUGGAACUCAUUGUCUCCUUCCUCAACUACCGGUUCUCAACCCCCGCCCCUCCCCCGAGCUGUCACCUUGCCAGGUCAGAUUAUGGGACCCAAGCCUUCAAUCCUCACCCCAAGGCCUGCAUUGCGAUUCUCCUUCUGGGGCGUUCCACCAGACUCACACCACAUGGUUUUCUAAACUGGCAUCUCCAACCCCAAGAUCUGCUGCUGUGGACAGCCCAUGAGGGAGGCAUCCUCGUAUUGCAGCCUGUUCUUGCUGCAGAGUCCUUUCCAGCCCUGGGCCCUGCUCAAAGCUGGGAGCCUUUCACGUCGUCAUAUGGACUGGAACAGUAUCCCUAGAUAGGGAAUGUGUGCCUUCAGAACCCAAAAAAGUCCAGCUAGCAUUUUGCUUUAUGGUGGCAGAAAGCAAAAUGCAGCGAUUUGUGGAUCUUUGCAAGGCACUUUCUAGAGCACACACUAGAAAGCUUCCUAUCAAAGCCUCAGUUUGCUAGUCACCUCUUGCUCAUCCUCUUGGUUAGUAUAACGUCCUCAAGGUCACAGUCAGUGCGACGUUCUGCAGGAUGUCUGGGGGGUCUACAACUCCUUGGCUCAUGUUGUGACAAAGAGCAAGAGAUUUAACAAGGCCCUGGAACAAAACUACAAAGGUACACUCUUGUUCAUCCCAUGUGAGUAGGAGCUGUUCCUGACCUUCACAUUUGCCAAGUCAACGGCAGCAUAUCCUGCACCUGAAGCCAUAUACGUCUGCUCUGGCAAAGACCCUAGGUCUCCAGGGCAGCUGCAUUUGGGGCUUCUAUUUGGUAGAACUUUCAGGUGUCUGUCAUCACACUCUAGAAUUCAUCUGGUUUCUGCAAGGACCAGACUGAUAAACUAAACAAAAAUAUGAUAGGACCACCGCUCCCAUAUCCUGGGGUCCUUAAUGACAGCGUCAAUAUCUGCCGCCUCCCCAUGAUACAGCAUUGGUUUUGAUGUACUGUCUUGGUUGGGGUGGAGUAUGGAGAACAGAGAGUGGAGAGGGAAGAAGAGAAAGGAGAACAGCUUCAGAGACUUCCAUUUGGCUUUCUCCACUAUGCUAACUUUCCCUCCAUAGGUCAUGACCCAAUGUAAGGAUUAUUCCAUCUGCCAAGUAUGUCAACCCCAACUAUACAUUCAGAGAUCAGAUAAAUGCGUGCUUGGGACACUCACAUCCCCCGUGGGUCUACUAUAGGCUGGACUCUGGGCAGGACUCCAUUGGUACUUGUCUCUCGUAUGUAGGUCCAUAAUGACGUGUCAGGUUUCUGGGUAUCAGUGUCACCUCAGACCCUGGGUCUAAUUGUCCUAGAAAUAUCUGGUUAUUCACAUCCCCCACAUAAACAGGCUCUGGGUAAAUGGCCAACAGCCCCUUUGUGGAAGGACUGGAAAAAUCCCCAAUAUAUGCUUGCCGUGGUAUAGUACCCCUUCCUCCUGGAGUCACAGCCACCUCUUCAGUCAACAAGUUCUCCCUUCUACUAACACAAAGACCUAAAAUGUGGACCAGGCCCAAGAAUUGGGCAAGAGAUAUUUUACCGGGGCCACCAACCUAAACCUGCUGCUUAAACAUUCUUGCUUUCUCUUAACGA
rnacentral:lncRNA from 1 species